ACGGAAGGCAGCAGUGGGGGAUAUUGCACAAUGGGGGAAACCCUGAUGCAGCAAUGCCGCGUGAGGGAAUAACGCUUGGUUUCGGCCAAGUUGAAUGUACCUCGAAAGGAAGCACCGGCAAACUUCGUGCCAGCAGCCGCGGUAAUACGAGGGGUGCAAGCGUUGUUCGGAAUCACUGGGCGUAAAGGGAGCGCAGGCGGAGAUGCAAGCAGUCUGUACAAUACCGGGGCCCAACCCCGGACCUGCAGACUGGACUGUUUCUCUUGGAUAGUUCAGGGGCAAGCGGAAUUCCUGGUGUAGCGGUGGAAUGCGUAGAGAUCAGGAAGAACACCGAUGGCGAAGGCAGCUUGCUGGGGACUUAUCGACGCUCAUGCUCGAAAGUGCGGGUAGCAAACAGGAUUAGAUACCCUGGUA
rnacentral:rRNA from 1 species